CAGGCCUAACACAUGCAAGUCGAACGGGUCCUUCGGGACUAGUGGCGGACGGGUGAGUAACGCGUGGGAAUAUACCCUUUGGUACGGAAUAGCCUCGGGAAACUGAGAGUAAUACCGUAUGUBCCCUUCGGGGGAAAGAUUUAUCGCCAAAGGAUUAGCCCGCGUUGGAUUAGGUAGUUGGUGGGGUAAUGGCCUACCAAGCCGACGAUCCAUAGCUGGUUUGAGAGGAUGAUCAGCCACACUGGGACUGAGACACGGCCCAGACUCCUACGGGAGGCAGCAGUGGGGAAUCUUAGACAAUGGGGGAAACCCUGAUCUAGCCAUGCCGCGUGAUCGAUGAAGGCCUUAGGGUUGUAAAGAUCUUUCAGUUGGGAAGAUAAUGACGGUACCAACAGAAGAAGCCCCGGCUAACUCCGUGCCAGCAGCCGCGGUAAUACGGAGGGGGCUAGCGUUAUUCGGAAUUACUGGGCGUAAAGCGCACGUAGGCGGAUUAGAAAGUCAGAGGUGAAAUCCCAGGGCUCAACCUUGGAACUGCCUUUGAAACUUCUAGUCUUGAGUUCGAGAGAGGUGAGUGGAAUUCCGAGUGUAGAGGUGAAAUUCGUAGAUAUUCGGAGGAACACCAGUGGCGAAGGCGGCUCACUGGCUCGAUACUGACGCUGAGGUGCGAAACGUUGGGGAGCAAACAGGAUUAGAUACCCUGGUA
rnacentral:rRNA from 1 species